AGAAGCUGACAUGCUUCAGGCUUUUGAAUGGACACAAGGACUCUGGACCAAAACAGGGCUAAAGGAAUUUGCAAAUUGAAGGUAUAAUGAAGACCAUCAGACCAUGGGAGUCCAUUUUCUCACCUUUUUCAGUUUCCUUCCUCUUAUUCCAGAUGCUCACAUUGACCUCAGGUGAGGAAGAGAUGAUGUCAAUGGAUCCGAGGUGGGAAAGAUGAUGAGGGACGUCAUUGGCUUCUGGAUGGUCCUUCACAUGUAUUUAGUACAUAUGUAUUACUCA
rnacentral:lncRNA from 1 species